CCAACCUGUGUGCGCCUACUCGUCGCUCCUAGCGUCCAGCUUCCGCCUGCGCCUAGCCGUUCAGCUGUUCUCUCCUCUGCGGCACGACUGCCUGAUCCCCUGAGUUACUACUGCACAAGCCGACCAGCCGACGCCUGCUACAUUCGUCUGCUGUUCGACCGAGGUCAUCUGACUGUGAUACCUGUGUAAAGGCCUAGUUCGUUGCAGAGCCAUGCUGGUAUCGGCGGCGUUGGCACUGUGGCUGGCAGCAGUGCCACUGUUGGCGUACCCCGCGUUCGGCAUCAAGCGCUACGGCCGCAACUCGGGGGUGUCGGCGGGGGCGGUAGCGGCGCCGGGGGCGGCAGCGGGGGCGUGGCCGCGCGCCUACUACGGUGACUACCACUACGC